AUUGCAGGCUGCAACUCGCCUGCAUGAAGUUGGAAUUGCUAGUAAUCGCGAAUCAGAAUGUCGCGGUGAAUACGUUCCCGGGCCUUGUACACACCGCCCGUCACACCAUGGGAGCCGGGAAUGCCCGAAGUCGGUGACCCAACCGUAAGGAGGGAGCCGCCGAAGGCAGGCCUGGUAACUGGGGUGAAGUCGUAACAAGGUACC
rnacentral:rRNA from 1 species